rnacentral:rRNA from 1 species
GCUUCUGGGAGCGACCGAUCAAGUUCCUCGGACAGGACGUCAUAGAGGGUGAGAAUCCCGUAUGUGACCGGCCCGCACCCUUUACGUAGCUCCUUCGACGAGUCGAGUUGUUUGGGAAUGCAGCUCUAAAUGGGAGGUAAAUUUCUUCUAAAGCUAAAUACCGGCCAGAGACCGAUAGCGCACAAGUAGAGUGAUCGAAAGAUGAAAAGUACUUUGGAAAGAGAGUUAAAAAGCACGUGAAAUUGUUGAAAGGGAAGCGCCUGCAACCAGACUUCGCGGCAGUGUUCCGCCGGUCUUCUGACCGGUUCAUUCUCUGUCGCGAGGCCAUCAUCGUCUGGGCCCGCCGGAUAAGACCUUAGGAAUGUAGCUCACCUUCGGGGGAGUGUUAUAGCCUAGGGUGAUGCGGCGAGGCUCGGGCGAGGUCCGCGCUUCGGCAAGGAUGAUGGCGUAAUGGUUGUCGGCGGCCCGUCUUGAAACACGGACCAAGGAGUCUAACAUCUAUGCGAGUGUUCGGGUGUCAAACCCCUACGCGUAAUGAAAGUGAACGGAGGUGGGAACCGCAAGGUGCACCAUCGACCGAUCCUGAUGUCCUCGGAUGGAUUUGAGUAAGAGCAUAGCUGUUGGGACCCGAAAGAUGGUGAACUAUGCCUGAAUAGGGUGAAGCCAGAGGAAACUCUGGUGGAGGCUCGCAGCGGUUCUGACGUGCAAAUCGAUCGUCAAAUUUGGGUAUAGGGGGCGAAAGACUAAUCGAACCAUCUAGUAGCUGGUUCUGC